GUCCACGCUGUAAACGAUGCACACUAGGUGACGCGCGCUCUGACGCGGGCGCCGCCGAAGCAAAAGUGGUAAGUGUGCCGCCUGGGGAGUACGGCCGCAAGGCUAAAAACUCAAAAGGAAUUGACGGGGGCUCACACAAGCGGUGGAGCAUGUGGCUUAAUUCGAAGCAACGCGAAGAACCUUACCCAGGUUUGACAUGCUUGGAUGCCUCCCGGGGAUAACUCGGGUUGGUUGCCCGCAAGGGUGAAACAAGCACAGGUGUUGCAUGGCUGUCGU
rnacentral:rRNA from 1 species